rnacentral:rRNA from 1 species
GACGAACGCUGGCGGCGUGCCUAAUACAUGCAAGUCGAGCGGACUUGAUGAGGAGCUUGCUUUUCUGAGAGUUAGCGGCGGACGGGUGAGUAACACGUAGGCAACCUGCCCUCAAGACUGGGAUAACUACCGGAAACGGUAGCUAAUACCGGAUAAUUAAAUCUGCUGCAUGGCGGAGUUAUGAAAGGCGGAGCAAUCUGUCACUUGAGGAUGGGCCUGCGGCGCAUUAGCUAGUUGGUGAGGUAACGGCUCACCAAGGCGACGAUGCGUAGCCGACCUGAGAGGGUGAACGGCCACACUGGGACUGAGACACGGCCCAGACUCCUACGGGAGGCAGCAGUAGGGAAUCUUCCGCAAUGGGCGAAAGCCUGACGGAGCAACGCCGCGUGAGUGAUGAAGGUUUUCGGAUCGUAAAGCUCUGUUGCCAGGGAAGAACGUCUCAUAGAGUAACUGCUAUGAGAGUGACGGUACCUGAGAAGAAAGCCCCGGCUAACUACGUGCCAGCAGCC